rnacentral:tRNA from 1 species
GGGCUGGGGUUAAGUGGUAGGCACUCGCCUAGCACGCGAGAGGCCCUGGGUUCAAUCCUCAGCACCACA